rnacentral:lncRNA from 1 species
CCGGCCACCACAUGAAGUGAAGAAGAACAAAGAAAGAACAAAAACCUAGAUGGGAAAAUUGAAGAAAAAGUGUGGGAUUUCAAGGAAUCAAGCAAUCAAAGGUAAAAUUUCUUGAUUUUGACUUGUGAUCUACCUUUUCCAUGCUUUUCUCCUUAUUUUCCAUGGUUAGAUUUCAUGUUUUCAUGAUGAAUUCAUGGCUGUCCAAAUGGGUAUGGAGAGAGAAUGAAGUUAGAUUAAUUUGAUUUUAAGUUAUGUUAAUGUUUUAAGUUAAUUUAGCAUAUUUAGAAACAAAGCAACAAGAAAAGAAUUCAUUUUUCUCCAUUGCCAUUAUUGGCCGAAUUUUCUAGGGGAAUAUUGACUGCUGAUCUUGAUGUUUAUUUGAGGAAUUAUGAUGAAUAAUGAUGAAUUCUGAGCCUAAAAAAAUAAUGAGAAUUUUCGGAGCAAAAAUAUGAAUUUUUACCCACUAGGGGUAUUUUCAUAAUUUGCUACCGGGACUGAUAAUUUGCACCACACUGAGGGACAUUAAGUCAAUUUGGGUGCAAUUGAGGUAUGGAAACUGAAAAAAAAAAUUAAUUUGGAGUUUAAACGGACGCGUAUAUCAAUUUAUCGGGUAAAAGAUCGAAAUAGGCUAACAUCGCGUUUAGGCAAAAUUUAGAUAUUUUACACUUCAUAUCAUGCAUAUACAUCGAGCCUAAAUUGAUUUUAUAAUGGUCAAGCAUUAAUGUCGUGAAUUAUGUAUUGUACAUUGUGGAUAGGUGGUGAGCAAAUUACACUGAUAAAAGUACAGAGAUUGUGCUUGAAGACUAGGGUUAGGAGUAUAUCGACUCCUAGAACAGUGAGUGAACUUAUUAUCGUCUUAAUUAUCUAGAGUAGUUUUAUACAAUUGUGUGAUUUUAUGAAAAAUGGGUUUAAAUGGUAAAUUGCUAUGUUUUAGGAGAAAUUGUGAUUUUAUAAAAUGAUUUUAUAAAUUUUCUAGAAAAUUGAAUACUGAUUUUGAAAAUAGAGUAAUUGGAGACUGCUUGCUUGUGUUGUAAAUUUAUGGUUUUAAAUUAAAUGGCUUGUGAUAAAUUGGCAUGAUUGGUUGAAUUUAUACUUGUGUUGAAAAAUAUGAACUGUCUGUUUUGCCUUGAUAAAUUGGUUAGUAAUGUAAUUGCCAUGCUAUACCCUUGAGAUUUGAUCAAUUGGUGAAUUAAAGAUUAGCUACUGCAAUGGUGGGGGUUUCAUGGACCAGCCUAUUAGAGGGGCACGGUAAACUCCUUUAUAUUCUCACCUCGAUCAUAGAGACGCGUAGGGUAUCUUCUGAGGUGGGCUUUUUGAGUGCACUUCACGUUAACCACCACGUGAUAGUGAGACUCAGCCAACGCCAAGGAACGGCUGUGAUAUUCAACGAAAAAUGUGUUUUAUGCAAAAUGUGAAUUUUAACAGCCUUGGCGGUCUUAGUGGGAUACCUUGACGAAGGUAUCCGCGAGAAUGAUUUUGGCAGGAGCCAAGUUUUGUGAGAUAUAUAAGCCAUGUUGAUUAAUUGAGUAAAUUGAAUAUUCAUGUUAUGAAACAUAUAUUGGAAAAGAAUAUUUUAAUUCGUUUCCAUUUAUUCGCCUUUAGAUAGUUUAAAUGGUGUCUGUUUACUCACUGGGAUUUUAUAAUCUCACCACCCUCAAUUCCCCACAUUUCAGGCUCGGGAUAGCCGGUAGAUAACCGAUUGCAUCAAGGACUUCAGUUAGCCUUGCAUCGACAAAAUUGUAGGUUCACAGACUCGCAUCUUAUUGGUUAGUUAAGGGAGCCCACGUGUCAUUGUAAAAGUAAUUUUAUACUUUAGUUAUUUGAUUUAAAGUAUGUAUGAACAUAUUUAGCUUUUACACCAUGUUUUUGGCGGGUUUUCGGUAUUUUCGAAGAAAAAUGACGAAAAUGCCCCUAUGAGCUAGAAAAUAAUUUUUGAUUGUUUUGAUUUGGAAACGACUUAUGAUUUCUUGAAAUACGAGAUUUAAUAACUGUCGUUCAUCGGAGAGAUGCG